CCAGACUCCUACGGGAGGCAGCAGUGGGGAAUAUUGGGCAAUGGGCGCAAGCCUGACCCAGCAACGCCGCGUGAAGGAAGAAGGCUUUCGGGUUGUAAACUUCUUUUGUCAGGGACGAAGCAAGUGACGGUACCUGACGAAUAAGCCACGGCUAACUACGUGCCAGCAGCCGCGGUAAUACGUAGGUGGCAAGCGUUAUCCGGAUUUACUGGGUGUAAAGGGCGUGUAGGCGGGACUGCAAGUCAGAUGUGAAAACCACGGGCUCAACCUGUGGCCUGCAUUUGAAACUGUUUCCCUUGAGUGUCGGAGAGGUAAUCGGAAUUCCUUGUGUAGCGGUGAAAUACGUAGAUAUAAGGAAGAACACCAGUGGCGAAGGCGGAUUACUGGACGAUAACUGACGGUGAGGCGCGAAAGCGUGGGGAGCAAACAGGAUUAGAUACCCCGGUA
rnacentral:rRNA from 1 species